rnacentral:tRNA from 1 species
AUUCAAAUAGCUUAUUUAGAGCAUAAUAUUGAAGAUAUUAAGGAAAUUAUUAAUUUUUGAAUA